rnacentral:rRNA from 1 species
GACGAACGCUGGCGGCGUGCUUAACACAUGCAAGUCGAACGGAAAGGCCCUGCUUUUGUGGGGUGCUCGAGUGGCGAACGGGUGAGUAACACGUGAGUAACCUGCCCUUGACUUUGGGAUAACUUCAGGAAACUGGGGCUAAUACCGGAUAGGAGCUCCUGCUGCAUGGUGGGGGUUGGAAAGUUUCGGCGGUUGGGGAUGGACUCGCGGCUUAUCAGCUUGUUGGUGGGGUAGUGGCUUACCAAGGCUUUGACGGGUAGCCGGCAUGAGAGGGUGACCGGCGCCCUGAGGACUAAGGUAGGGCCCAGACUCCUACGGGAGGCAACGGGGGGAAAUAUUGCACAAUGGGCGGGAGCCUGAUACAACAGCGCCGCGUGCGGGAUGACGGCCUUCGGGUUAUAAACCGCUUUCGCCUGUGACGAGGCGUGAGUGACGGUAAUGGGUAAAGAAGCACCGGCUAACUACGUG